UGAGUAGAUUAAGUAAUCGCAUACAAAUUCAUUUUGUAUGAGGAAAGUCCGAGCUCCACAGAGCAAACUAACGGUUAACGACCGCCGAGGGCGACCUCAGGGAAAGUGCAACAGAGAUAUACCGCUCGGGUGACCGAGUAAGGGUGGAAAGGCGAGGUAAGAGCUCACCGGUGUAUGGGAGACCAUGCAGCCAUGCAAACCCUAGUUGGAGCAACACCGUUUGGUAAAAAUAUACGCUUGCUCGGCGUUAAAUAUAGGUGGCACCGAACUACUGCGGCAACGCUUAGUCCAGAUAGAUGAUUACUCACGACAGAAUUCGGCUUAUCGAUCUACUCUUUCA
rnacentral:RNase_P_RNA from 1 species